UUGAGCAUUCUAACUCUGGAGGACCCUGUUCAUGUUGGACGGGUUUUGAAUGACAGACUGUCUGUGCCUGGAUACCACCCCUGGGGUUUGCAGCAGUGUACGAGUAGCCUGCAUGGGUCACUGGUUACUUCUACAAAUGCAGGAUUUCAGGUCACAUGGCUGUGACAGGAAAUGGAAAUGAAGCAACAUGGAAGAAGGAGGUGCCUCAACAUCAUGACGCUCCUGGUUUGAUGAACCUUGGCAGGUUUUAUGGU